rnacentral:rRNA from 1 species
ACUCCUGCGGGAGGCAGCAGUGGGGAAUUUUGGACACUGGGCGAAAGCCUGAUCCAGCAAUGCCGCGUGUGUGAAGAAGGCCUUCGGGUUGUAAAGCACUUUUGUCCGGAAAGAAAUCCUUGGCUCUAAUACAGUCGGGGGAUGACGGUACCGGAAGAAUAAGCACCGGCUAACUACGUGCCAGCAGCCGCGGUAAUACGUAGGGUGCGAGCGUUAAUCGGAAUUACUGGGCGUAAAGCGUGCGCAGGCGGUUUGCUAAGACCGAUGUGAAAUCCCCGGGCUCAACCUGGGAACUGCAUUGGUGACUGGCAGGCUAGAGUAUGGCAGAGGGGGGUAGAAUUCCACGUGUAGCAGUGAAAUGCGUAGAGAUGUGGAGGAAUACCGAUGGCGAAGGCAGCCCCCUGGGCCAAUACUGACGCUCAUGCACGAAAGCGUGGGGAGCAAACAGGAUUAGAAACCCUAGUAGUCCCAUGAU